AAAAUAUUCUAUAAAAAUUGUUAUAUGUAUAUGUAUAUGUAUGUAUAUAUAUAUAUAUAUUGCAUAUAUUCUCAAAUUCAUACACAUACAUACAUACAUAUAUAUAUAUACACACACAUAUACAUAUAUAGUAUAUAUAUACAAAUGUAUGUAUGUGUUUUAUUUUCUCAUCCUUCCCAUUCAGAUUAUUUCGCUGGAGAUUGUGAUCACAUCAUUGCAUUUAACGUUUCAUCAUUUGUUGGGUGGACUUUUGAUACAGGCCACAUUCCAAGGAUAUUCUUACAAAUAAAAUUAUAAUUUUGUUUAUUUUCAUAACAUUCAGCUUGCCUUAAUUGCAAAACAUUUUAUUUAACAAAUUUUGUUUUACCAAAGUUGUUUUAGUUCUUUGAGAAUUGAACAGAGUAUUGUUUUUGUUUUGCAUUGUUCAAGUGGCACAAAUAAUUGUUAAUGAAAUUUAUGAUUUAGUAAGAUUGAAUGGAAAUUUUGAUUAAUUUAAAUAUGUCACUUGCAAUUAGAGAUAGGUUAAUAUUUAAACAGUGGCCACUCAUUAUAUUUGGAGGAUUAAAAUUAUAAAAAUCUCUUCCUCCUCUUCAUUAUUUUCAUUUGUGAUCAGUAAACAGUAUUAAGGUUUUCAGAGAUUAAAAAUAAUUCUUUGUAAGAAACCAAAGUUUGCAAAAAGUUCCUCUGUGAUUUUUAGAUUUUUUUUUUGUUUUUUAGCUUUAUUAUUAUUGGGUAAUUUUUUGUAUAGUUUACAAAGAAUGGGUAUAUGUGGUUUCUAGAAAGUCAAGAAAAAAAUAAAAGCCACAAUGUAAAAUAUUUACAACUGACAUCAUUUUUUAAUUUUUGUUUUUAAAAGAAAAGUUACUAGGAAUUAUAAAGAAAGCAGAUUUAUUAAUAAUAAAUUUAUGUAAAAUUGUAUCUCAAAAAAUUGCUUAUUAAAAAUAUGCUG
rnacentral:lncRNA from 1 species